rnacentral:rRNA from 1 species
GAUGAACGCUGGCGGCGUGCCUAAUACAUGCAAGUCGAGCGAACAGACGAGGAGCUUGCUCCUCUGACGUUAGCGGCGGACGGGUGAGUAACACGUGGAUAACCUACCUAUAAGACUGGGAUAACUUCGGGAAACCGGAGCUAAUACCGGAUAAUAUAUUGAACCGCAUGGUUCAAUAGUGAAAGACGGUUUUGCUGUCACUUAUAGAUGGAUCCGCGCCGCAUUAGCUAGUUGGUAAGGUAACGGCUUACCAAGGCAACGAUGCGUAGCCGACCUGAGAGGGUGAUCGGCCACACUGGAACUGAGACACGGUCCAGACUCCUACGGGAGGCAGCAGUAGGGAAUCUUACGCAAUGGGCGAAAGCCUGACGGAGCAACGCCGCGUGAGUGAUGAAGGUCUUCGGAUCGUAAAACUCUGUUAUUAGGGAAGAACAAAUGUGUAAGUAAAUAUGCACGUAUUGACGGUACCUAAUCAGAAAGCCACGGCUAACUACGUG